rnacentral:tRNA from 1 species
CACCUCGUAGCUCAGCUGGUAGAGCAUGCGCAUACAAAGCGUAGGCGGUGUCCAUGCGUGGUUUUGAAUCCCACCAAGGCUA